rnacentral:tRNA from 1 species
GAGAGAGGCCCGCUAGCAGCGAAGACUGCUAAUCUUCGUCCCUUUGGUUGGACCCCAAAGCUCACUCG